AUUGAACGCUGGCGGCAGGCCUAACACAUGCAAGUCGGACGGUAGCACAGAGGAGCUUGCUCCUCGGGUGACGAGUGGCGGACGGGUGAGUAAUGUCUGCGGAUCUGCCCGAUAGAGGGGGAUAACCACUGGAAACGGUGGCUAAUACCGCAUAACGUCGCCAGACCAAAGAGGGGGCCCUUCGGGCCUCUCACUAUCGGAUGAACCCAGAUGGGAUUAGCUAGUAGGCGGGGUAACGGCCCACCUAGGCGACGAUCCCUAGCUGGUCUGAGAGGAUGACCAGCCACACUAGAACUGAGACACGGUCCAGACUCCUACGGGAGGCAGCAGUGGGGAAUAUUGCACAAUGGGCGCAAGCCUGAUGCGGCCAUGCCGCGUGUAUGAAGAAGGCCUUCGGGUUGUAAAGUACUUUCAGCGGGGAGGAAGGCGAUGUGGUUAAUAACCGCGUCGAUUGACGUUACCCGCAGAAGAAGCACCGGCUAACUACGUGCCAGCCGCCGCCGUAA
rnacentral:rRNA from 1 species